GAUGAACGCUGGCGGCGUGCCUAAUACAUGCAAGUCGAGCGAAUGGAUUAAGAGCUUGCUCUUAUGAAGUUAGCGGCGGACGGGUGAGUAACACGUGGGUAACCUGCCCAUAAGACUGGGAUAACUCCGGGAAACCGGGGCUAAUACCGGAUAACAUUUUGAACCGCAUGGUUCGAAAUUGAAAGGCGGCUUCGGCUGUCACUUAUGGAUGGCCCCGCGUCGCAUUAGCUAGUGGGUGAGGUAACGGCCCACCAAGGCAACGAUGCGUAGCCGACCUGAGAGGGUGAUCGGCCACACUGGGACUGAGACACGGCCCAGACUCCUACGGGAGGCAGAAGUAGGGAAUCUUCCGCAAUGGACGAAAGUCUGACGGAGCAACGCCGCGUGAGUGAUGAAGGCUUUCGGGUCGUAAAACUCUGUUGUUAGGGAAGAACAAGUGCUAGUUGAAUAAGCUGGCACCUUGACGGUACCUAACCAGAAAGCCACGGCUAACUACGUGCCAGCCGCGCCGUAA
rnacentral:rRNA from 1 species